GAUGAACGCUAGCGGCAGGCUUAACACAUGCAAGUCGAGGGGCAGCGGGGAGGAAGCUUGCUUUCUCCGCCGGCGACCGGCGCACGGGUGAGUAACACGUAUGAAACCUGCCCGUAGCAGGGGGAUAAGCGGAAGAAAUUCCGUCUAAUACCGCGUAACAACCCAUGGAGGCAUCUCCGUGGGUUUAAAGGAAGCGAUUCCGGCUACGGAUGGUCAUGCGUCGCAUUAGCUAGUUGGCGGGGUAACGGCCCACCAAGGCGACGAUGCGUAGGGGUUCUGAGAGGAAGGUCCCCCACACUGGUACUGAGACACGGACCAG
rnacentral:rRNA from 1 species